rnacentral:lncRNA from 1 species
AGAGAAGAGCCUUCGACCCUGGGGAAACGAACAAAGUCAUCAGGCAGAGUGACAGGCACACCGGCACCAGUGCAGGAAGAAAAUAACACCACAACCUUCAUGGAAACUCCAAAGCAGAAACUGGAGUCUUUAGGAGAUUUAACAGGGCUUAGGAAACAGUCCAGAACACCUAAAGCAAAAGCCCAAUAUCUAGAGGACAUAUCUGGUUUUCAGGAGGGUUUCCAGACACCAGACCAUGCCAAUGGCCCAUUAGCAGUUGGCAAAACCAAAAAAAUGUCCUUUAUUUCUCCACAACCAGGAAGUGCCAUAACCCUAAAGAGCAUAGAGAGACAGUCUAGGGCAAGUAUGAGUAACAUGAAUGUUAAAGAAGAACUUUUAGAAUCAGAGGAACACCUACAAUUAGGAGAAGGUAUAGACACACUUCAAGUACCUAACAACAACAAAGUCUUUAGGUCAUCUAGGAAACCUGCAAAGCGUAAACUGGAUCCAACAGCUAGUAUGCCUAGCAGUAAGAGGAUGAGACGUUCCUCAAAGGAUAGCACACCAAGCCUAGAAGACGUGACUGGUUCCCAACAGCUUUGCCAAAUGCCAGGCCAUGCUAAGGACUCUUUGAACACUGAAGCCUCAACAAUGUUUACUAAACCACCACAAUCAGGACCAGUUAGAACCCAAAACAACAGAAAGAGUCUGCCCAAGAUUAGCCUGAGACAAGUAGAUGUGACGGGAGGAAUUUCAGUUCUCGGGAAGCAGUCACCUGGCAGAGCCCUCACAGCACCAGUGCAGGCGGAUAAUGGGAUCAAAGCAAUUAUGGAGACUCCAAAGGAAACACUGGCAACUGCAGCAGAUUUAACUGGGUUUACCAGACCACAACAAACACCUAAGGAAAAAGACCAGCCCCUGGAAGAUUAUGGUGGCUUCCAAGAACUCUUCCAAACACCAGCUGGUGCCAGUGACUCAGUGACUGUUGAGGAAAGUAAAAAGAUGCCAGUGGAAUCUUUACAACCACAACCAGUCAGAACCCCAGCAAGCACAAAGAGACUGUCCAAGACAGGUCUCAGUAAGGUGGAUGUGAGAGAAGAGCCUUCAACACCUGGGAAAAGAACAAAGUCAUCAGACACAGUGACAGGCACACCUGCACCAGUGCCGGAAGAAAAUGACACCACACCCUUUAUGCAAACUCCAA